rnacentral:rRNA from 1 species
UACAGAGGGUGCAAGCGUUGUUCGGAAUUAUUGGGCGUAAAGCGCGUGUAGGCGGCGUGGCAAGUCGGGUGUGAAAGCCCUCAGCUCAACUGAGGAAGUGCGCCCGAAACUGCUGUGCUUGAGUGCCGGAGAGGGUGGCGGAAUUCCCCAAGUAGAGGUGAAAUGCGUAGAUAUCUGGAGGAACACCGGUGGCGAAGGCGGCAUCCUGGACCAACACUGACGCUGAGGAGCGAAAGCCAGGGGAGCAAACGGG